AAUGUUUUGAUAAUAUUUUAUCGAUUUACAAUAUUCUACAAUAUUUUUGAGGUGAAUAUUAGCCGAAUAUCAUUUAAUUGCAGACAACACUUAUAAAACAAAAUUACAAAAUAAUCUAUGGUUUUUUUAUGUAGUAUAGCAUACUACGACAAAAUAUGUUUCAGAUGAAGCUUUUCAAACGACGCUCUAUUCUAGCGUCUUUAAUAUUUGACAUAUACCGAUAUCAUGAUUAAGCGUCGCCAAUGAACAUAUUUUUAUCAAAUAUUAUUAAAAAUUUUUCGACGCUAUAUUAAAGCAUUGGUAUAUUUAUUACGAUAUGUUUACUUAACGAUUCUUUACUCGACACUUUUACAAGCGUCGGAAUUAUUCUUGUCAACGCUUUAAAACGUCGUUAGUUAUUGUUUAAAAUAUCUUUAAAUGCAGGAUUUGUUGUAGUGU
rnacentral:lncRNA from 1 species